rnacentral:rRNA from 1 species
UACGGAGGGGGCUAGCGUUGUUCGGAAUUACUGGGCGUAAAGCGCACGUAGGCGGCUUUGUAAGUUAGAGGUGAAAGCCCAGGGCUUAACCCUGGAAUUGCCUUUAAGACUGCAUCGCUAGAAUCGUGGAGAGGUAAGUGGAAUUCCGAGUGUAGAGGUGAAAUUCGUAGAUAUUCGGAAGAACACCAGUGACGAAGGCGACUUACUGGACACGUAUUGACGCUGAGGUGCGAAAGCGUGGGGAGCAAACAGG